rnacentral:rRNA from 1 species
UACGUAGGGUGCGAGCGUUGUCCGGAAUUAUUGGGCGUAAAGGGCUCGUAGGCGGUCUGUCGCGUCGGGAGUGAAAACUCGGGGCUUAACUCCGAGCCUGCUUCUGAUACGGGCAGACUAGAGGUAUGCAGGGGAGAAUGGAAUUCCUGGUGUAGCGGUGAAAUGCGCAGAUAUCAGGAGGAACACCGGUGGCGAAGGCGGCAUCCUGGACCGGUAUUGACGCUGAUGAGCGAAAGCGUGGGGAGCAAACAGG